AGUGAACGCUGGCGGUAGGCCUAACACAUGCAAGUCGAACGGCAGCACAGUAAGAGCUUGCUCUUACGGGUGGCGAGUGGCGGACGGGUGAGGAAUACAUCGGAAUCUACUUUUUCGUGGGGGAUAACGUAGGGAAACUUACGCUAAUACCGCAUACGACCUACGGGUGAAAGCAGGGGAACUUCGGACCUUGCGCGAUUGAAUGAGCCGAUUUCGGAUUAGCUAGUUGGCGGUGUAAAGGCCCACCAAGGCGACGAUCCGAAGCUGGUCUGUCAGGAGGAUCGGCGACACUGGAACUGAGACAGGGUCCAGACUCCUACGGGAGGCAGCAGUGGGGAAUAUUGGACAUUGGGCGCAAGCCUGAUCCAGCCAUACCGCGUGGGUGAAGAAGGCCUUCGGGUCGUAAAGCCCUUUUGUUGGGAAAGAAAAGCAGCAGGUUAAUACCCCGCUGUUCUGACGGUACCCAAAGAAUAAGCACCGGCUAACUUCGUG
rnacentral:rRNA from 1 species